rnacentral:lncRNA from 1 species
GGGUGGGAAGGGGGGCUCUGCAGCCACCUGUGGUGGCAGAGGACAGGGCAGACUGGAAUCAUUUUUCUGCGUGGGGAAUGCCCUGUGUGGCCCCAAGGUGCUGGUGGAUGCUUUUCCUCGAUACAGGUGUCCCUGUAAACUAAGAUGUAGAGAGCAAAGCCUUUUGUUUUUUUGCCAUUUCCACACGAAGGAGAGGGCAUGGAGGAGAGGAAGAAAGGGUCAGGGAACGACUCUCCCCCCACCCGCUGAUGAGGUAUUUGAGAAGAAACCUUUUGAAUCAACAUUCCCAAAGUUUUCAAGUUCCUCUGCGGAAAACCCAUGUAGGGAUAGGAUGUGAGCCAAAAGCGAGGGAAAAGAUUGUCUGGCUUUAAUUUAUCUAUCCCUGGGCAUUUCUAACAAGCAGAUCACUGUAAUAUUUAAUCUCGUGCGAGUCCCUGCAUGUUAAAAGUGAAUCUCUCUCAUAUGUUUUUGUUAAUUUUGUCAUAUAUAAAGUCACUUCUGACGCCUCAGCUCCUGACUACAGCGUGUGCUGGGGCAGGAGAGCAGCAUCCGUGGGACCCGAACCGCUUCUCACGCUGGGCAGAGAGGAGGGGCGAGGGGCUGCGGGGCGAGGGGCAGCGGGUGGGUGGGCGAGGAUGCGCAUCCUGCACUCCACGGGAUUUUCCCCCUCUCUUCUGGGGUUGGUGCUGAACUUUAGGCACGUUUCUCGGCUUGGUUGGCGGUUAUUAAAAUUCGCUGCUCACUUUUGUUUAUAGUUGGUUGUUUACUUUGUUGAAUUUUUAAAAACUUGUUAGAAUGCAAUUGAACACAGAUUCAACAGUAUUUAGGCUUGAAAAAUAAAGAUGCAUCAGAAAGAUGCCUAUUAUGCUUCAGAAUUAUUAAUUGACAUUUUUAUGAUGAAUAAUUAAUCAUUUGAAUAAUUUUCGUAUCUCUGAUCUGAACACAUAUUUGCAUAUCUAAUGUCUGAUUUUAAAUGUGGUUUCUUUAGUUGCAUUCUCCCAGGACAAAGACACGAAAGCAGUCAGCUCGCAGCCUUGCAGCACGGGGGGCCAGCUCUGAGACCAGUGCCAGGAGCUGCCAUCGCUUUGGCCAUCGGGGGGGCAGCAACAGCAGCAAGCUCUCUGCAAAGGGACGAGGCCGGCAUUGGGGUUAAACCUGCAGACUUUGCUUCUGAAAGCAGGAGAAAAGCUAACAUCCCUGAGAGGCCGCCACACUUUCCUGCAAAGGGACCAUUCUGGGGGCCCCCCAGGAUCUCCUCUCCUCUGGUAGCAGCAGCAGCAGCAGCACUGGAGCGAAUGCAUCCAGCACUGAGCUAGCCCCAACCCCCUGGAUCGUAUUGUGCCUUAAUGAGGAUGAUGGACAGCUUUGUGAAAGACUUACUUACACUGGAAAUGCGGAUUUUAUUUUAUAUUUUAUGUUAUUUUGUUUUGUUUUAACCAGGCAAAGUGGUGAAUAUAAAUGAUAUAAUUACAGAGCAGCCCCUGUUCUACCUAUUUUGCAACCAGGUCAAAUUUAU